rnacentral:siRNA from 1 species
UUAUACUCCUAAAUGAUGAUGAU